rnacentral:rRNA from 1 species
AGUAUAGCAUUAUACGGCGAAACUGCGAAUGGCUCAUUAUAUAAGUUAUCGUUUAUUUGAUAGUACCUUACUACUUGGAUAACCGUGGUAAUUCUAGAGCUAAUACAUGCUAAAAAUCCCGACUUCGGAAGGGAUGUAUUUAUUAGAUUAAAAACCAAUGCCCUUCGGGGCUCCUUGGUGAUUCAUGAUAACUUCGCGAAUCGCAUGGCCUUGCGCCGGCGAUGGUUCAUUCAAAUUUCUUCCCUAUCAACUUUCGAUGUUUGGGUAUUGGCCAAACAUGGUUGCAACGGGUAACGGAGGGUUAGGGCUCGACCCCGGAGAAGGAGCCUGAGAAACGGCUACUACAUCCAAGGAAGGCAGCAGGCGCGCAAAUUACCCAAUCCCGACACGGGGAGGUAGUGACAAUAAAUACUGAUACAGGGCUCUUUAGGGUCUUGUAAUUGGAAUGAGUACAAUUUAAAUCCCUUAACGAGGAACAAUUGGAGGGCAAGUCUGGUGCCAGCAGCCGCGGUAAUUCCAGCUCCAAUAGCGUAUAUUAAAGUUGUUGUGGUUAAAAAGCUCGUAGUUGAACCUUGGGCCUGGCUGGCCGGUCCGCCUCACCGCGUGCACUGGUCCGGCCGGGCCUUUCCCUCUGUGGAACCCCAUGCCCUUCACUGGGCGUGGCGGGGAAACAGGACUUUUACUUUGAAAAAAUUAGAGUGCUCCAGGCAGGCCUAUGCUCGAAUACAUUAGCAUGGAAUAAUAAAAUAGGACGUGCGGUUCUAUUUUGUUGGUUUCUAGGACCGCCGUAAUGAUUAAUAGGGACAGUCGGGGGCAUCAGUAUUCAAUUGUCAGAGGUGAAAUUCUUGGAUUUAUUGAAGACUAACUACUGCGAAAGCAUUUGCCAAGGAUGUUUUCAUUAAUCAGGAACGAAAGUUAGGGGAUCGAAGACGAUCAGAUACCGUCGUAGUCUUAACCGUAAACGAUGCCGACUAGGGAUCGGACGGUGUUAUUACUUGACCCGUUCGGCACCUUACGAGAAAUCAAAGUGCUUGGGCUCCAGGGGGAGUAUGGUCGCAAGGCUGAAACUUAAAGAAAUUU